GUGAAGAACGCAGCGAAAUGCGAUACUUGGUGUGAAUUGCAGAAUCCCGUGAACCAUCGAGUCUUUGAACGCAAGUUGCGCCCGAAGCCAUUAGGCCGAGGGCACGCCUGCCUGGGCGUCACACGUCGUUGCCCCCCCAUCUACUCCUUCGGGAUUGCGGGGGGCGGAUGAUGGCCUCCCGUGCGCCUCGCCGCGCGGUUGGCAUAAAUGCCAAGUCCUCGGCGACGCACGCCACGACAAUCGGUGGUUGCGAAACCUCGGUUGCCCGUCGUGUGCGGUCGUCGCGCAUCGAGGGCUCGAAAAAAUUGCCGGGUUCCGGCUCGGCUUUCAACGCGACCCCAGGUCAGGCGGGGUUACCCGCUGAAUUUAAGCAUAUCAAUAAGCGGAGGA
rnacentral:misc_RNA from 1 species